CUCCCCACUCAAGUGCCUUCACUUACAUUCAGCCACACCCCAUAGCAGCUGGGAGCUGUGUUCCCCUCUGUCAGUUUCCGCUGGACCAAACACGGAGGCCGGAGUGCGUGGCUGUAGGUUUGUGCCCAGCGCAGUAACAACCCGGCUGCUGCUGUUUGGGGAGCCUGGGAGGCUCCAGCCUAGUCCCGAGGCCCAGGGCGGCCGCCGCAGGGAGAAGCCCCGGUCUCCGGGUCCCCGCCGUAGGGAGGCCGGGCCUGUCUCCUGCCGGAGGAGGAAGAAGCGAGCGGCCCGGGCGCCACCUCUUUCCCCUUGGGGGAGGGCGCUGGCAUGGCCGCGGCUCGGGGGCUCCCGGAGUCCCGGAACUCCUCCCAGGACCGGCGCACUUGAACUCCGGGAGUUGGCCCAGCACCUCGCCCCGCCGUCCUGCCAGUCUCCGUCCCAGUGCGGAGCGGCCGGCCGGCGCGAUGCUGGCGCUGUGGCUGGUGGGCCUGGGGCAGAAGCUGCUGAUCUGGGGCGCGCUGGGCGCCGUCUCCGUGGCGGGAGCCACUCUUCUCCUGAGCCUCCUGCAGAUGGUGGCGAGGUGCGCGAGUCAAUGGCAGCAGAUGAGGGGCCUCCCCACGUUGCCCGGCUGCUACCCCUUGGUGGGACACACGCUGAUGAUGAAGCCAGAGGGGAAAGAAUUUUUUCAGCAGCUAAUUUGUUACACAGAAGAAUAUCGGCAUUUUCCAGUGCUGAAACUCUGGCUUGGACCAGUACCACUCUUGGCCAUUUAUAAUGCAGAAAACGUGGAGGUAAUUUUAAGUAGUUCAAGUCAAAUUGACAAAUCCUGUGUGUACAAGUUCCUCGAACCAUGGCUUGGCCUGGGACUCCUUACCAGUACUGGAAACAAGUGGCGAUCUAGGAGAAAAUUGUUAACACCCACUUUCCAUUUUACAAUUCUGGAAGAUUUCUUAGAUGUCAUGAAUGAACAAGCAAACGUAUUGGUUAAUAAGCUUGAAAGACAUGUUAACCAAGAAGCCUUUAACUGCUUUUUUUACAUCACUCUUUGUGCCUUAGAUAUAAUUUGUGAAACAGCCAUGGGGAAGAACAUUGGCGCUCAAAGUAAUGAUGAUUCCGAGUACGUCCAUGCAAUUUAUAGGAUGAGUGAUUUGAUAUCUCGAAGAAUGAGGAUGCCGUGGCUCUGGCUUGACUUUUUGUUUUUUAUGUGUAAAGAAGGAUGGGAACACAAAAGGAACCUGAAGAUCCUACAUAAUUUUACCAAUAAGGUCAUCUCUGAACGGGCCAAGGAACUGAAGAGAGACGAAGAACAUAGAAGCGGUGACAAGGACUCUUCCCCCUCCAAGAAUAAACGCAGGGCUUUUCUUGACUUGCUUUUAAAUGUGACUGAUGAUGAAGGGAACAAGCUAAGUCACGAAGAGGUUCGAGAAGAAGUGGACACUUUCAUGUUUGAGGGCCAUGACACGACUGCAGCAGCAAUAAACUGGUCCUUAUAUCUAUUGGGUUCUUACCCAGAAGUCCAGAAACACGUGGACAGUGAACUGGAGGAAGUGUUUGGGAAGUCUGAUCGUCCUGCUACCGUAGAAGACCUGAAGAAACUUAGAUACCUGGAAUGUGUCAUUAAGGAGAGCCUCCGCCUUUUUCCUUCUGUCCCCUUAUUUGCCCGUAAUCUUACUGAAGAUUGUGAAGUUGCGGGUUACAAAAUUGUGAAAGGCGCUCAAGCAAUCAUCGUUCCCUAUGCACUGCAUAGAGAUCCAAGAUACUUCCCAAAUCCUGAGGAAUUCCAGCCAGAACGGUUCUUUCCCGAGAAUUCGCAAGGACGCCACCCAUUCGCAUAUGUGCCUUUCUCUGCUGGACCCAGAAACUGUAUAGGUCAAAAAUUUGCCACAAUGGAAGAAAAGGUCGUUCUCUCCUGCAUCCUGAGACAUUUUUGGGUAGAAUCCAACCAGAAAAGAGAAGAACUUGGUCUGGCGGGAGAGCUGAUUCUUCGUCCCACGAGUGGCAUCUGGAUCAAGCUGACGAGGAGAAACGGAGAUGCGUCCUAACCAUAGUCCUUGGCUGUGCCCUUGUCACGUGAACGGUCUUUCUUGAAGGGAACUGGAUUUACCAUUUCUAGAUCUGGGUUCAAUACUCUGAGUCCCUAGACCUAUUUUUUUUCUUGUCCCCACUUCUGUUGGGAUCAAGCGCCCCAAAGAGUUUUUAUAUUUGCAUCACGACCAUAGGUCUUAGCCCUGGUCUCGAUCCCCAAAGUAGAGUUAACCAGUGACGACACCCAAGUAAACAUAUGAUAGGUUUCUCAGCAGAGGGAUCCACAGGCCAAUUCAAUUCAAUUGGCACACCGAAAGAAUAUAAUUUAAUUGAGAUUCCAGAAUUUUUUAAAGGUAUUCUUACUGACUGGGGAACAUGUAUAUGCAUGUAUACAUAUGCAUUUAAUUUGAAAAGGGUGGGUAAUUAAGUACUUAGACCUAAGAAGCUCAAGUUUUAAAAUUAUAUGAGUGACAUCAAAUAUGAGAAGAAGAAUUAUUAUGGCACUUUUCAGAUUAUAUUGCCUGGACUUGAUAAUUUUUAAGUUGACUCAUGAGUUCUGUUCCUGUUUCCCUUUUGACCAGGUGCCGAUAGCCGUGACUUCAUUAUCCAUAGCAUCACAACUAGCCUUAUAUAUCAUACACAGUUGGGAAAGACUCCUCUCGACUGAUGCUGAGUUUUCCUGAGUCUGAAGAAUUAACUGGACACGAAGCAGAGAUCCCAGCACAGUUUGCUCGGCUGAUAGCAGCAAGUGAAAUCUCCUAGAGGGGCCUGGGAAUCAGCAAAACCACAAGCAUCAUUGGAACCCAGCAUUGCAGGCUGGAAACCUCUCCAGGUGACGGGCUAGUGAACUGAUUGAUGCUGUGUUCAUUGUCACAGACAACAAAAGAAUGUCAGUUUCUGGACCAAACGACCUGUCUUACAACGAAAGAGGUGCUGCCUGUGCGGCACGCGUGCGCGCGCGCGCACACACACACACACACACACACACACUGUAUCUAGAAGAUCAAAACAUUUGCUUUUCAGCAUCUAAAGGGGUGCUGGUAGGAACAUGACAAAUUUUUGAGUCUGCCUAGAAACCUCCCUCCUUUUUUUAGGAACAGUACCCCCUUUAUCUUUGAAACUGUCCCAUGAUCAAUACCUCCCCCAAUUUUCUUCUGUUUCUCACCUUUUUGCUUCCCCAACAUAUCUACACACUGUAAAUAUACAGUUCUCGUUGAUGACGCCAUGUUCUCAGGCAAUCUCACCGUCUUAAGUGGACUGACCCAAGCAGGGUCCGCUCAGAUUCUCCCCUUGGGAAUCGGUGGAGGUUUCGGGUUGUGAGACUGGGGAUCAGUUGGCAGUUGAAGCUCUGGGAAGAAGGUGCAGGGGAGAGAAGAUGCACAGAAAAGAAACGGAGAGAAUCCUGGAGGCUCUGAGUCCCACAUUCCCGGGGAUGGGCAAGUUCAGCUACACGCCCGCCCUGUGCACUGUUCAAUUGUUCACCUGCACGCUGGAGCCCAGGCGCCAGGCUAUUGCCAUUUUGUUUAGGUUGCUCGUCUUUCAUUUCUAACCCAAAGCCGGUUAGUGUUUGUGAGCUCAGCUGCAGGAAGGAGAAAGGUGCUCUAUUCUUCGGACGUGAUCUUCUGUCCUCAUCCUCUUUCCUUUGUGCUGUUCACUCCUUCUCCUCCAGGCUGGAUAACCUCAGCCGAUAACAUAUGUCUGCUAGUCAUUGAAAUGUGAUAGAAUUUUUAAAAAUUAAGAUUUAAUUGACAUGAUAUUAGUUGCAGGUGUAUAACAGUGGUUUGAUAUUUGUAUGUGUACGAAGUGAAAAAUGCAAUAGCGUUUGAGGAAAUGCAGAGUUCCCAUCGUUUCUAGAUGGUAGGAACAUUAAAAGUCCCCUGCUUUAUCUUAGAACAAAUUGGGAUUAGCCUAACACAAGGGUCUAGUUUCUUAGCCCCAUCCUGAUGUAUUGCCCAGGCUAAUUUGUCUUUUUUUUUUCUUGCUUUCAUUAAACCAGAUUCACCCCCA